rnacentral:rRNA from 1 species
CACGUAGGGGACGAGCGUUGUCCGGAUUCAUUGGGCGUAAAGGGCUCGUAGGCGGUUCGUCACGUCGGGAGUGAAAACUCGGAGCUUAACUCCGAGCCUGCUUCCGAUACGGGCAGACUAGAGGUAGGCAGGGGAGAGCGGAACUCCUGGUGUAGCAGGUGGUGAAUGCGCAGAUAUCAGGAAGAACACCGGUGGCGAAGGCGGCUCUCUGGGCCUUACCUGACGCUGAGGAGCGAAAGCGUGGGUAGCGAACAGG